CUUCCAAUCCCGCCAAUUUCUCAGCGCCCAUCUCAUGAAAAAUCUUGACGGUCAUUGCAGAAAGGGAAGCGAAGUGCUCCUUGAAGACCUUGGCUCGCUCCAUCACUUGUCUCUCUCCCGCGUCGGAAACGACCUCGCCAUUCGAGCUUCUCCUUCUCAGAUUUCCUUUCUCACACUCAAUUUGUCAAGAUCUGCCUAUCGAUUGAUUACCUCCAAGCCAGACCUCUUUGAUGUGUUUACAGUUUCUGGCACACAGGUUCAGCGUUCUUCUAAAGGCAUUUAGAAAACAUACUGGAUUUCUUGCAAUGUUGACCCCAACAUACAACAAUUAUCUCUGGAUAGGAGAAGAUACCCCAGCAGUUUUGUGGUGAGGCCUCUAGAUCUGAACAGAUCGCUAGCAAAUUUCAGUCUUCCCUUCAAGAAAUUACUAUCAUUGCAACGGAAUGCAACUUCGAUCCUUCUGAUGCUGCAAGUGAAUUUGGUGUAGAAGCUCUUGAGUUUCAAAGCUACAUUGAUCCUGCCAAAGGCAUUUCUUGCAUUCUGUGAGGGAUGUGAAGUGGACAUUCAUCUGUACUUUGAGAAGGCUGGCAAUUACAUGAAGGUAACAAUGGACCUUAGGAAAAUGGAAUGCCAGGCCAGGCUGAUACUGGGGAAGCUUCUGGAGAACAGCUAGAGAGGAGUAGAACAAGUGCUUCUGAGAUUCCAUCAAAUCAUACCAGAAUAUGGUCUGAACUCUCACGAAUGCUGUGAGAAGUGGCAGUUGUUCUGAUGGAAGGCAAGUUCCAGAAGAAAGGAUCCUAAAAGCUGGUAAUCAGUUAGGAAAUGAAAGAGUAAGCACCCUUCAAAUAUCGAAAGCUGCAUCAGCUGAAGGAAACAUCCAAACUGGUCCAGAUUCUUCAUCUCUCAAUCUCUCUUUCAGUUUGUGUGUGUGUGAUAAACAUCAUCUUUAUCUCUUGAGGUCAGAGUAUUUUGCUGUCUCCUGCAAAUAUUUCUAAAUAAAGUUGGUACUUUCUCAAACCCCCGUUUCCCUACUGUAAAUGCUGCUUUGCAAGAAAGCAUUUGGCUUAGGCCAAUUGAUUGCAA